AGUAAGCUAAAAAUCAGAGAUCUCUCCCACGAACCGAACAGCAAUGAGAUCUACUCUUCUGUCCAAAGCAAUCCAUUUUAUCUGCAUACAAGGAUGAAGCUAUAAAUCCAUGAAGAUUACCUUGAAUAUCUUGCAUAUGACAUUUAGUUUGGUUAGAAAGUCUUAUGCAAUAACUUUAGCAACAAGCGUAUCUAUGCAAGCUGGAUGGAGUUAAUGUUCCCCAUAGUACCCAUAUAGUUUCAUGCUUUGCACUUGUUGGUAGAACAGUGCUGAUAACACAUCAGUGCUUUGGCUACUACUGCACAGCGCUCAAACUGCAUUCAAGUCUGUCUAACCAACCCCACAAAUGCCUUCAAGGGCCAAUAGGCUGGGAGUGGCCCAGAAGAUGGGAGAGAAGACAGCCAGGACAGGUGACCCAAACUGACCAAAGGGAUAUUCCACACCACAUAAUGUCAUGCAGCAAGAGCAGUUCUACUCUAUACAGAGCUCAAGUACAGAAGUCAGGACUGAACUGAACAAGAAGGAUGUUGAGGCUCUGGAACGCAUCCAGAGAAGAGCAACAAAGCUGGUUCCUGAAUCCGGUUCCUGAGUCCUGCUCCCAUCUGACACUGAGGCCAGUCUGGGAUCUUCCCCAUGCCUGUGCUGCAGCGUCAGUAGUGAUGAAUUGUUAUCUGGGGAGUUUGAAUUGGGGUGAAGCCUGCGUGCAGUCCAACUUCCUUAGUUUUGAAGGGCAGAUCAUGACUGAGACUGCCAUCUUCCAGCAGUAUAUAACCCAUCUGGCUGCUUUCCCCAAUAUCCGUCCCAAGAAGCAAAAAAAAAGCAUUUGAAUAAUAUUGGAUUUAGAGAUGAACUGAAAGAGCAGAGACUUGAAGUAGAAGAGCUGUCUUCCUUAUAAUUCUUUCCCCAACAGCACAUAUAGAGACACAGCAUUCUUGUCACAGACGUCUCAGAGACCAGCAGGAGAAAAAGCUGAAAUCAAGCUCAGAAUUGCUAUCUGUUUCUUCAAGGGCACAGCUGUGUCUCAUACAAACUGCAAACUCACUAAUCCCAAGCAUGUCCAAAACUGACUCAGAGGCUGGCAACUCCGAGCUGCAGUUGGAUCUACAAAUCAGCCAGCCUGUUCAGACUGCUCCUUAGCAACAGCACUUGCUUUUUUUUCCCAAAGACUCCCUCUCAGCUCCUUCCUAGCUCUCAAGUGCUUUGAGCCCUGACUCUGCAUCACCUCUUCGUAUAACCAAAGGCUCUGUAACAACACCAGCUUAUCAGCAAAGAGGGAAAAAAAAAAAUGAUGGACUGUUAUAUGCUGUUAAUCAGUAUUUUAGUGGUUUUCCUCCUCUGAUCAUAAGAAUAUUCUUAUUUGUAUAACUGCUUACAAAAAAAAUAAAUGAAAAAG